rnacentral:rRNA from 1 species
UACGGAGGGUGCGAGCGUUGUCCGGAAUCACUGGGCGUAAAGGGCGCGUAGGCGGCCUGAUAAGUUGGGGGUGAAAUCCUGCGGCUUAACCGCAGGGCUGCCUUCUAAACUGUCAGGCUUGAGCACAGUAGAGGCAGGUGGAAUUCCCGGUGUAGCGGUGGAAUGCGUAGAGAUCGGGAAGAACAUCAGUGGCGAAGGCGGCCUGCUGGGCUGUUGCUGACGCUGAGGCGCGACAGCGUGGGGAGCAAACAGG